rnacentral:rRNA from 1 species
UUUUCGGCCAUGGGGGGAACCCUGACCGAGCAACGCCGCGUGAAGGAAGAAGGAAUUCGUUCUGUAAACUUCUGUUAUAAAGGAAGAAAGACGGAUGGAGGAAAUGACACCCGAGUGACGGUACGUUAUGAGAAAGCCACGGCUAACUACGUGCCAGCAGCCGCGGUAAUACGUAGGUGGCAAGCGUUAUCCGGAAUUAUUGGGCGUAAAGAGGGAGCAGGCGGCAGCAAAGGUCUGUGGUGAAAGACUGAAGCUUAACUUCAGUAAGCCAUAGAAACCGGGCAGCUAGAGUGCAGGAGGGGAUCGUGGAAUUCCAUGUGUAGCGGUGAAAUGCGUAGAUAUAUGGAGGAACACCAAUGGCGAAGGCGACGAUCUGGCCUGCAACUGACGCUCAGUCCCGAAAGCGUGGGGGGCAAAUAGGA